rnacentral:rRNA from 1 species
AAUUAACGCUGGCGGCAUGCGUAACACAUGCAAGUCGUACGAGAAAGCCAGGUUCGCCGGGCGAGUAAAGUGGCGCACGGGUGAGUAACGCGUGGGUAAUCUACCUCGGUCUGGGGGAUAACGCACCGAAAGGUACGCUAAUACCGCAUAAUCCGACGGACUCCUGAGUCUGUUGGGAAAGGUGGCCUCUACAUGUAAGCUACCGAACCGAGAUGAGCCCGCGUCCUAUUAGCUUGUUGGUGGGGUAAAGGCCUACCAAGGCGACGAUGGGUAGCUGGUCUGAGAGGACGGCCAGCCACACUGGAACUGGUACACGGUCCAGACUCCUACGGGAGGCAGCAGUGAGGAAUAUUGCGCAAUGGGGGAAACCCUGACGCAGCGAUGCCGCGUGGGUGAAGAAGGCCUUUGGGUCGUAAAGCCCUGUCAAACGGGAAGAACAGUCUGGGGACGAAUAAUCCUCAGGCCUGACGGUACCGUUGAAGGAAGCACCGGCUAACUCCGUGCCAGCAGCCGCGGUAA